rnacentral:rRNA from 1 species
ACGGUCCUAAGGUAGCGAAAUUCCUUGUCGGGUAAGUUCCGACCUGCACGAAUGGCGUAAUGAUGGCCAGGCUGUCUCCACCCGAGACUCAGUGAAAUUGAACUCGCUGUGAAGAUGCAGUGUACCCGCGGCAAGACGGAAAGACCCCGUGAACCUUUACUAUAGCUUGACACUGAACAUUGAGCCUUGAUGUGUAGGAUAGGUGGGAGGCUUUGAAGUGUGGACGCCAGUCUGCAUGGAGCCGACCUUGAAAUACCACCCUUUAAUGUUUGAUGUUCUAACGUUGACCCGUAAUCCGGGUUGCGGACAGUGUCUGGUGGGUAGUUUGACUGGGGCGGUCUCCUCCUAAAGAGUAACGGAGGAGCACGAAGGUUGGCUAAUCCUGGUCGGACAUCAGGAGGUUAGUGCAAUGGCAUAAGCCAGCUUGACUGCGAGCGUGACGGCGCGAGCAGGUGCGAAAGCAGGUCAUAGUGAUCCGGUGGUUCUGAAUGGAAGGGCCAUCGCUCAACGGAUAAAAGGUACUCCGGGGAUAACAGGCUGAUACCGCCCAAGAGUUCAUAUCGACGGCGGUGUUUGGCACCUCGAUGUCGGCUCAUCACAUCCUGGGGCUGAAGUAGGUCCCAAGGGUAUGGCUGUUCGCCAUUUAAAGUGGUACGCGAGCUGGGUUUAGAACGUCGUGAGACAGUUCGGUCCCUAUCUGCCGUGGGCGCUGGAGAACUGAGGGGGGCUGCUCCUAGUACGAGAGGACCGGAGUGGACGCAUCACUGGUGUUCGGGUUGUCAUGCCAAUGGCACUGCCCGGUAGCUAAAUGCGGAAGAGAUAAGUGCUGAAAGCAUCUAAGCACGAAACUUGCCCCGAGAUGAGUUCUCCCUGACUCCUUGAGAGUCCUGAAGGAACGUUGAAGACGACGACGUUGAUAGGCCGGGUGUGUAAGCGCAGCGAUGCGUUGAGCUAACCGGUACUAAUGAACCGUGAGG